rnacentral:misc_RNA from 1 species
GAAACGCGAUAGUUAAUGUGAAUUGCAGAAUUCAGUGAAUCAUCGAGUCUUUGAACGCACAUUGCGCCCAUAGGUAUUCCUUUGGGCAUGUCUGUUUGAGCGUCAUUACAACCCUCAGCUAACCGCUGGUUUUGAACCUGAACGGGUGACACCGCGCCGGUUUUAAAGUUGUAAGCUCUCUGGCCGCUCUGCCCAACCAGAACAUAGUAAGCACUACUUGUCCGGGUGAAGCUGAACGGUACGGCCUGAACAAAACCUACCCACUCUCAAGGUUUGACCUCAGAUCAGACAAGGAUACCCGCUGAACUUAAGC